AGAAUCAACGCUGGCGGCGUGCCUAACACAUGCAAGUCGAACGAGAAAGUGGAGCAAUCCAUGAGUAAAGUGGCGCACGGGUGAGUAACACGUGACUAACCUACCCUGGAGUGGGGGAUAACUGAGGGAAACCUUAGCUAAUACCGCAUAAUACCUACGGGUCAAAGGAGCAAUUCGCUUCAGGAGGGGGUCGCGGCCGAUUAGUUAGUUGGCGGGGUAAUGGCCCACCAAGACAGUGAUCGGUAUCCGGCCUGAGAGGGCGCACGGACACACUGGAACUGAAACACGGUCCAGACUCCUACGGGAGGCAGCAGUGGGGAAUUUUGCGCAAUGGGGGAAACCCUGACGCAGCAACGCCGCGUGGAGGAUGAAGUCCUUCGGGACGUAAACUCCUUUCGAUCGGGACGAUUAUGACGGUACCGGAAGAAGAAGCCCGGCUAACUUCGUGCCAGCAGCCGC
rnacentral:rRNA from 1 species